GAUGAACGCUGGCGGCGUGCCUAAUACAUGCAAGUCGAGCGAACGGACGAGAAGCUUGCUUCUCUGAUGUUAGCGGCGGACGGGUGAGUAACACGUGGAUAACCUACCUAUAAGACUGGGAUAACUUCGGGAAACCGGAGCUAAUACCGGAUAAUAUUUUGAACCGCAUGGUUCAAAAGUGAAAGACGGUCUUGCUGUCACUUAUAGAUGGAUCCGCGCUGCAUUAGCUAGUUGGUAAGGUAACGGCUUACCAAGGCAACGAUGCAUAGCCGACCUGAGAGGGUGAUCGGCCACACUGGAACUGAGACACGGUCCAGACUCCUACGGGAGGCAGCAGUAGGGAAUCUUCCGCAAUGGGCGAAAGCCUGACGGAGCAACGCCGCGUGAGUGAUGAAGGUCUUCGGAUCGUAAAACUCUGUUAUUAGGGAAGAACAUAUGUGUAAGUAACUGUGCACAUCUUGACGGUACCUAAUCAGAAAGCCACGGCUAACUACGUGCCAGCAGCCGCGGUAAUACGUAGGUGGCAAGCGUUAUCCGGAAUUAUUGGGCGUAAAGCGCGCGUAGGCGGUUUUUUAAGUCUGAUGUGAAAACCCACGGCUCAACCGUGGAGGGUCAUUGGAAACUGGAAAACUUGAGUGCAGAAGAGGAAAGUGGAAUUCCAUGUGUAGCGGUGAAAUGCGCAGAGAUAUGGAGGAGCACCAGUGGCGAAGGCGACUUUCUGGUCUGNUACUGACGCUGAUGUGCGAAAGCGUGGGGAUCAAACAGGAUUAGAUACCCUGGUAGUCCCGCCGUAAACGAUGAGUGCUAAGUGUAGGGGGGUUUCGCCCCCUAGUGCUGCAGCUAACGCAUUAAGCACUCCGCCUGGGGAGUACGACCGCAAGGUUGAAACUCAAAGGAAUUGACGGGGACCCGCACAAGCGGUGGAGCCAUGUGGUUUAAUUCGAAGCAACGCGAAGAACCUUACCAAAUCUUGACAUCCUUUGACAACUCUAGAGAUAGAGCUUUCCCCUUCGGGGGACACAGUGACAGGUGGUGCAUGGUUGUCGUCAGCUCGUGUCGUGAGAUGUUGGGUUAAGUCCCGCAACGAGCGCAACCCUUAAGCUUAGUUGCCAUCAUUAAGUUGGGCACUCUAAGUUGACUGCCGGUGACAAACCGGAGGAAGGUGGGGAUGACGUCAAAUCAUCAUGCCCCUUAUGAUUUGGGCUACACACGUGCUACAAUGGACAAUACAAAGGGCAGCGAAACCGCGAGGUCAAGCAAAUCCCAUAAAGUUGUUCUCAGUUCGGAUUGUAGUCUGCAACUCGACUACAUGAAGCUNGANUCGCUNGUNUUCGUAGAUCNNCNUGCUCCCUUAAGGGGNUUCCNNNNUNU
rnacentral:rRNA from 1 species